rnacentral:rRNA from 1 species
GAACCCCUUGACCUCAAAUCGGGUGAGACUACCCGCUGAACUUAAGCAUAUCAAUAAGCGGAGGA